GCGGUGUUAGCUCAGCGGGAGAGCACUUGCUUGACAGGCAAGGGGUCACUGGUUCAAUCCCAGUACAUCGCA
rnacentral:tRNA from 1 species